AGAGUUUGAUCCUGGCUCAGAUUGAACGCUGGCGGCACGCCUAACACAUGCAAGUCGAGCGGAAACGAGUUAUCUGAACCUUCGGGGAACGAUAACGGCGUCGAGCGGCGGACGGGUGAGUAAUGCCUAGGAAAUUGCCCUGAUGUGGGGGAUAACCAUUGGAAACGAUGGCUAAUACCGCAUAAUGCCUACGGGCCAAAGAGGGGGACCUUCGGGCCUCUCGCGUCAGGAUAUGCCUAGGUGGGAUUAGCUAGUUGGUGAGGUAAUGGCUCACCAAGGCGACGAUCCCUAGCUGGUCUGAGAGGAUGAUCAGCCACACUGGAACUGAGACACGGUCCAGACUCCUACGGGAGGCAGCAGUGGGGAAUAUUGCACAAUGGGCGCAAGCCUGAUGCAGCCAUGCCGCGUGUGUGAAGAAGGCCUUCGGGUUGUAAAGCACUUUCAGUCGUGAGGAAGGUAGUGUAGUUAAUAGCUGCAUUAUUUGACGUUAGCGACAGAAGAAGCACCGGCUAACUCCGUGCCAGCAGCCGCGGUAAUACGGAGGGUGCGAGCGUUAAUCGGAAUUACUGGGCGUAAAGCGCAUGCAGGUGGUUUGUUAAGUCAGAUGUGAAAGCCCGGGGCUCAACCUCGGAAUAGCAUUUGAAACUGGCAGACUAGAGUACUGUAGAGGGGGGUAGAAUUUCAGGUGUAGCGGUGAAAUGCGUAGAGAUCUGAAGGAAUACCGGUGGCGAAGGCGGCCCCCUGGACAGAUACUGACACUCAGAUGCGAAAGCGUGGGGAGCAAACAGGAUUAGAUACCCUGGUAGUCCACGCCGUAAACGAUGUCUACUUGGAGGUUGUGGCCUUGAGCCGUGGCUUUCGGAGCUAACGCGUUAAGUAGACCGCCUGGGGAGUACGGUCGCAAGAUUAAAACUCAAAUGAAUUGACGGGGGCCCGCACAAGCGGUGGAGCAUGUGGUUUAAUUCGAUGCAACGCGAAGAACCUUACCUACUCUUGACAUCCAGAGAACUUUCCAGAGAUGGAUUGGUGCCUUCGGGAACUCUGAGACAGGUGCUGCAUGGCUGUCGUCAGCUCGUGUUGUGAAAUGUUGGGUUAAGUCCCGCAACGAGCGCAACCCUUAUCCUUGUUUGCCAGCGAGUAAUGUCGGGAACUCCAGGGAGACUGCCGGUGAUAAACCGGAGGAAGGUGGGGACGACGUCAAGUCAUCAUGGCCCUUACGAGUAGGGCUACACACGUGCUACAAUGGCGCAUACAGAGGGCAGCAAGCUAGCGAUAGUGAGCGAAUCCCAAAAAGUGCGUCGUAGUCCGGAUUGGAGUCUGCAACUCGACUCCAUGAAGUCGGAAUCGCUAGUAAUCGUGGAUCAGAAUGCCACGGUGAAUACGUUCCCGGGCCUUGUACACACCGCCCGUCACACCAUGGGAGUGGGCUGCAAAAGAAGUAGGUAGUUUAACCUUCGGGAGGACGCUUACCACUUUGUGGUUCAUGACUGGGGUGAAGUCGUAACAAGGUAAC
rnacentral:rRNA from 1 species